rnacentral:rRNA from 1 species
UACAGAGGUCCCAAGCGUUGUUCGGAUUUACUGGGCGUAAAGGGUGCGUAGGCGGCCAAAAAAGUCUGAUGUGAAAUCUUGGAGCUCAACUCCGAAACUGCAUUAGAUACUGGUUGGCUUGAGGAGUGGAGGGGAGAUUGGAAUUCUCGGUGUAGCAGUGAAAUGCGUAGAUAUCGAGAGGAACACCAGUGGCGAAGGCGAAUCUCUGGACAUUUCCUGACGCUGAGGCACGAAAGCCAAGGGAGCAAACAGG